rnacentral:rRNA from 1 species
UCAUAUGCUUGUCUCUAAGAUUAAGCCAUGCAUGUCUAAGAAUCAGCCCACAGAACGGCAAAUCUGCGAAUGGCUCAUUACAUCAGUUAUUGUUUAUUUGAUGGUUACCUUGCGAUUUUUAAUCGGGUCGCGGGCUACAUGGAUAACCGUAGUAAUUCUAGAGCUAAUACAUGCUUAACAAAGAAAGGCACUUUUGUUAGUGUCUUUUGGGUGCAUUUAUUAGAUUCCAACGCCAAUCAUUCGUUAAUGAUACAAAUACAUUGGUGAGUCAUGAUAACUCGAGCGAAUCGGGCACAACAAACCUUUUUGCUUUUUCACUAAGGCACAAAGGGCCCGAUGCUUCAUUCAAAUUUCUGCCCUAUCAGCUUUCGAUGGUAGGAUCUUGGCCUACCAUGGCGAUCACGGGUAACGGGGAAUCAGGGUUCGAUUCCGGAGAGGGAGCUUGAGAAACGGCUACCACAUCCAAGGAUGGCAGCAGGCGCGCAAAUUACCCAAUCCCGACACGGGGAGGUAGUGACAAUAGGUAACAAUGCCUUGCUGCGAAUGCAGCACGGGCAAUUGGAAUGAGAGUAACAACGCGUUUGACAUUAUUUAAACCCAUUCUCGAGGAGCCAUUGGAGGGCAAGUCUGGUGCCAGCAGCCGCGGUAAUUCCAGCUCCAAUAGCGUAUAUUAAAGUUGUUGCAGUUAAAAAGCUCGUAGUCCGAUGAUGAUGGUUGGGGGGUUGAUUGAGAGCUUGGCUUCUUGUUAAGCAAUCUUUCACCCUCACCUGAGUGUGAUUUUCAUUAAUCACACUUUGUACUUUGGGCUGAGCAGCUCUUUUUGAGUUGCUCAAUCCAAUAGUUUACUUUGAGAAAAAUAGAGUGUUCAAAGCAGGCGUUGAUUUGCCUCACAAUUGGCCCUUUUCAAAAGGGCUGACUUGAAUACAUUAGCAUGGGAUAAUGGAAUAGGACAUUGGUUCUGGCUUUUUUGUCUAAAGAGUGAUUGACAGGCCUCAAAGUCAAAUUUGAGGUUUUCAGGACCGAUGUAAUGAUCAACAGGGACUGUUGGGGACAUUCAUACUCCAUGGCUAGAGGUGAAAUUCUUGGAUUCAUGGAAGAUGAACUAGUGCGAAAGCAUUUGUCAAAGAUGUUUUCAUUGAUCAAGAACGAAAGUUAGGGGAGCAAAGACGAUCAGAUACCGUCGUAGUCUUAACCUUAAACGAUGCCGACUCGGGAUUGGACGACGUCAAAGCGGUUGCUUUGGUUUUUAACCAAGCAGUCGCAGCCGACUCGUUCAGCACCUCCUGUUAACAAAACACACAAGGGAAACCGUUAAGUGUUUGGGUUCCGGGGGGAGUAUGGUCGCAAGGCUGAAACUUAAAGGAAUUGACGGAAGGGCACCACCAGGAGUGGAGUUUGCGGCUUAAUUUGACUCAACACGGGGAAACUCACCAGGUCCAGACAUGGGAAGGAUUGACAGAUUGAGAGCUCUUUCUUGAUUCCGUGAAAGGUAGCGCAUGGCCGUUCUUAGUUGGUGGAGUGAUUUGUCUGGUUAAUUCCGUUAACGAACGAGACCUUGGCCUGCUAACUAGUUGCGGGGGUUUGACAUUUAAGAGCAAUCUUUUGUGUUAACGACCCCUUGCAGACCACCGUCAAAAGUGGUCGCCGCACUUCUUAGAGGGACAAUCUGCGUUUUUAGCAGAGGGAAGCUAAAGGCUAUAACAGGUCUGUGAUGCUCUUAGAUGUCCUGGGCUGCACGCGUACUACGCUGACGAACGCAACGAGUGUUUUUGUUUUGGGCCAUUAAGCAAUUUUUUGUUUCUUGGCCCAAAUCUCCUUGG